rnacentral:rRNA from 1 species
UGGGGAAUAUUGCACAAUGGGCGCAAGCCUGAUGCAGCGACGCCGCGUGAGGGAUGGAGGCCUUCGGGUUGUAAACCUCUUUCGCCAGUGAAGCAGGCCAUCUUCUUUGUGGGGUGGUUGACGGUAGCUGGAUAAGAAGCGCCGGCUAACUACGUGCCAGCAGCCGCGGUCGUACGUAGGGCGCGAGCGUUGUCCGGAAUUAUUGGGCGUAAAGAGCUCGUAGGCGGCUGGUCGCGUCUGUCGUGAAAUCCCCUGGCUUAACUGGGGGCUUGCGGUGGGUACGGGCCGGCUUGAGUGCGGUAGGGGAGACUGGAAUUCCUGGUGUAGCGGUGGAAUGCGCAGAUAUCAGGAGGAACACCGGUGGCGAAGGCGGGUCUCUGGGCCGUUACUGACGCUGAGGAGCGAAAGCGUGGGGAGCGAACAGG